rnacentral:lncRNA from 1 species
GCAAUGGGGUGAGCUCCCUUUGCUCGGUCCCUGCUCCUGCCAACCUAGCUGUUCGAAAGCACGUCAAAGUGCAAGUAGAUAAAUAGGUACUGCUCCGGCGGGAAGGUAAACGGCAUUUCCGUGCGCUGCUCUGGUUUGCCAGAAGCGGCUUAGUCAUGCUGGCCACAUGACCUGGAAGCUGUACGCUGGCUCCCUCGGCCUAUACAGCGAGAUGAGUGCCGCAACCCCAGAGUUGUCCGCGACUGGACCUAAUGGUCAGGGGUCCCUUUACCUUUACCAUCAAACCAGAAAUAUAAAACUUGAGUUUUGUAUUUAGGGUUGUCCCUCCAGACAUGUUUGAAAAGACCCCAAGAUAAAGGGGGUCCUCAACAUUAGCGGGCCCACAUCCACCUGCAGUGAAAACAAUAGGCAGAUAAUUUGCUGCCUGAGCUGAAGCAGCAGAUAGUGCCCUCUAAGGUCAAAGUGCAUAAUAUACCCAAUGCCACUCAAGUUAUUUUCUAUUUCUAGAAAAAGAGGAGCCAGAACUCACCAUGAAUGCCUCCCUUGUUCUCUUAUAAUGGCAAUGGCAUCCACCUGAGAGCUGUCAGAACUGAGUUCUGGUGAGUUCCAGCUGAAAAAAGCCGUAAAUCUAUAACUGUCUGUCUUUCUAUAUCUCUCAUUUUACCCCAUACUUCAGCAAAUAAAAAAGGCUCGUACGACUGCUUACAUACAGCUCUCCCUGCCUCUCAGCAGUUAAAACACAAUAAUAAUAAAUUAGUUAACAAUGCAACCCUGUCAGGACACCCAGAAUCAGUUGCCCUGAGGUGACCGCCUUGCUCUGCCUAAUGGCAAGACCAGUGCUGGCAGGCAGUGAUUUUAAUUCCCCACAAAACCCUGGAGUGUCCGAUAUAAAGUCACUACAGGGAAUUGUGGGAAAUUAGGAUGGCUGUCUGCUGCUGUUGCCAAUGUAUCAUGGGCAGUGCCAGAUGGGGGUCAUGGGGCAACCCCUCCCCCAAACAAGGAACUCCCCACCCCCCACUUGCCUCCCCUUUGUGGGCAUUAGCAUAUACUGUUAUUUUUCUUUCCAAGAUAUUAACAUGUGGGAUACAACUCGCCCACCUAGAAAUUAAGGCUGGGCGAUAUAUCGUCCCAAAACCAGUUUGAAGUCCAUAGUGUGAUAUCGGUUUCAUUUCUGACCUGGCAAUGUAUCACAAAUCAUAAUGUGUGUUAUGGCUGGGUGAUAUAUACGUAUUGUUCCAAACUGGUUUCAAGUCCAUAAUUGGUUUCAUAAUUUUUGACCUGACAAUCUAUUGAAAACUGGGUGUGCGUGUGCUGUGCGAUGCAAAAAUCACAAUGUGGGGGAAACCGUGAAGCCAACUAAUGCCUCUACAUAGCUCCAGCCUUAUUUCAGACAUUGUGAUAUAUCAGUAUAUCGUUGCGUUUAGCCGGUGAUAUAUCACAAUGUUGAAAACCAGGUAUUGCCCAUCCCUACUAGAAAUAUGAGGGGUGCGGGUGGCGCUGUAGGUUAAACCACAGAGCCUAGAGCUUGCUGAUCAGAAGGUCGGCGGUUCGAAUCCCCACAAUGGGGUGAGCUCCUGUUGUUCUGUCCCUGCUCCUGCCAACCUAGCAGUUCAAAAGCACAAAGUGCAAGUAGAUAAAUAGGUACCACUCCAGCGGGAAGGUAAACGGUGUUUCUGUGCGCUGCUCUCGUUCACCAGAAGCGGCUUAGUCAUGCUGGCCACAUGACCCGGAAGCUGUAUGCCAGCUCCCUUGGCCAAUAAAGCGAGAUGAGUGCCGCAACCACAGAGUCGUCCGUGACUUUACCUUUACCGUACUAGAAAUAUACCUUGUCCCUUCUGUGCAAUUUUUUCCUGGUGUCACCCCUGCACUGCACUAUAUCCUAAACAUCGCUGGCGUGCCUCAGGGUGCUGGCGCUGGGCCUGUCCAACAGGAUUUGCUCGGAAAGCGCUAAGGGCUGAGAGCAGUCAAUACCUUCUACCCAGCGUAGCAGCUGCAGCAGUGGUUGCAGGAAUAUCUGGGGAGGGGGCUUUGAAGUACUUCUGUGAUGGCCUGGGAUUCGGACUCAGAGGCUGAACCUGAGGAAUCCCAGCCUGCACAGGAGUCCCCACCUCCAGAACCAGCUGAGCCGGGGCUGGGGCUUGAGCCUGAAGGGUCCUCACCUGUGCUGGAUCCUCAGGUGCAGGCACCAGCAGAGUCUGCUCUGGCUCCUGAGGUGAUGGAGGACCCAUUGCCUGCAGGUACUCCACUCUCAGCCCCGGCAGGGGAAACUGAGGUUGCCUCUGGGUCUGGUAACCCUCCAGCCGCUCCUGAGCUGCAGAGGCUCAGGGCAGAGAGGCGGAGGGAACUAAGUUCUCGCAGGAGGAGUGCUCGCCUCCAGGCCAGGAGAGGCAAGUCACCUGUGGACCGGGGCCGCCCUAUGCCUCGGGGCAGAUAAAAGCCAGCCAACCCCAAGUUGCGGGAGCAACGUUGUUGGUAGCCUGUUCCUGCCUGCACCCUGUCCUGCUCUUCUGCCAGAGUUCCUGACCUCACCCGACUCCCUGCCUUGGACCCAGCUUCAGCUUUGAUGGACAGUAUCCAUACCGCACCCUCGACCUCGGACUGGACUCGGACCUCGCCGCACGGUUAACUCUCGGGACCAGCACAACUUCUGCCUACGCCCUUCCCCAGAACCUGCCUUGCCAUCACACCUCUGAGCUCAAGCAAAGCUAGGAGCCAUGGCAGUUGUACACCAGCCCACAUUUACUUGCUACUAUUGAAAGCACCCAUAUUCUGAAGACAGAUGGCUGAACAGAGAAGCUCACAAUUCGUUUAAUCUCAGGGAUUCUCUUAGGUCAGCAGGAUAACAAGAUUCAGAAAGUAUCUUCUCCAGAGCCCGAAUAUUCUUUGUGGGACCCAUCCAAAUGACAGCAAUGGAUCGUCACAAUAUAA